rnacentral:tRNA from 1 species
GCGAUCAUGGCGAAAUGGUAUACGCACCGGUCUAAGGAACCGUUGUCCGCAAGGACGUGUGGGUUCAAAUCCCACUGAUCAUG